rnacentral:rRNA from 1 species
ACCCCUCGAGAGUGGCGAACGGGUGAGUAAUAUAUCGGAACGUGCCCAGUCGUGGGGGAUAACGUAGCGAAAGUUACGCUAAUACCGCAUACGAUCUACGGAUGAAAGCGGGGGAUCGCAAGACCUCGCGCGAUUGGAGCGGCCGAUAUCAGAUUAGGUAGUUGGUGGGGUAAAGGCUCACCAAGCCAACGAUCUGUAGCUGGUCUGAGAGGACGACCAGCCACACUGGAACUGAGACACGGUCCAGACUCCUACGGGAGGCAGCAGUGGGGAAUUUUGGACAAUGGACGCAAGUCUGAUCCAGCCAUUCCGCGUGCAGGAUGAAGGCCCUCGGGUUGUAAACUGCUUUUGUACGGAACGAAAAGGUUUCUAUUAAUACUAGGAGCUCAUGACGGUACCGUAAGAAUAAGCACCGGCUAACUACGUGCCAGCAGCCGCGGUAAUACGUAGGGUGCAAGCGUUAAUCGGAAUUACUGGGCGUAAAGCGUGCGCAGGCGGUUAUAUAAGACAGAUGUGAAAUCCCCGGGCUCAACCUGGGAACUGCAUUUGUGACUGUAUAGCUAGAGUACGGUAGAGGGGGAUGGAAUUCCGCGUGUAGCAGUGAAAUGCGUAGAUAUGCGGAGGAACACCGAUGGCGAAGGCAAUCCCCUGGACCUGUACUGACGCUCAUGCACGAAAGCGUGGGGAGCAAACAGGAUUA